rnacentral:lncRNA from 1 species
UCGCUCACAGCAGAUACCUCUAUUGUUCUAGCAAGAGAAGGAUCGGCCUCCAACUCUGAUACGCACCUAUCAGUUGUCUAUCGGCUGUGAGAUUCUCGGUGUGUUUCAAGCUUGACAUCUUGUUGGUAUGCAGGUAGCAGCAAGGUUUUAGAAAGAAAGAAAAUUACAUUUGAUAUACAUCAAACAGGUGUAUUUUAUACACUCUUAGGACUAGGACGACAGGGUAGUUGGUAAUUCAUACCCUGGGUCUAUUAGGACUAGGAGAUCAGGGUAGUUGGUUAUUCAUACCCUGGGUCUAUUAGGACUAGGAUGACAGGGUAGUUGGUUAUUCAUACCCUGGGUCUAUUAGGACUAGGAUGACAGGGUAGUUGGUUAUUCAUACCCUGGGUCUAUUAGGACUAGGAUGACAGGGUAGUUGGUUAUUCAUGCCCUGGGUCUGUUAGGACUAGGAGAUCAGGGUAGUUCGUUAUUCAUACCCUGCGUCUGUUAGGACUAGGAUGACAGGGUAGUUGGUUAUUCAUACCCUGGGUCUAUUAGGACUAGGACGACAGGGUAGUUGGUUAUUCAUACCCUGGGUCUAGUAGGACUAGGACGACAGGGUAAUUAGUUAUUCAUACCCUGGGUCUAGUAGGACUAGGAUGACAGGGUAGUUGGUUAUUCAUACCCUGGGUCUAUUAGGACUAGGAUAUCAGGGAGGUUUGAUUUUUAUUUCAGUAGAAACAUGUUAACAUUUCUCUAAAAUCAUUCAUUUUUGGAGGAAAACACAGUAUGACAAAUUCCUCUUCAACAUUAGCAAUACUCAGAGACCGUAUAGCCACUAUCAUUCAUCUUCAACACAGGCCAUACUCAGAGAGACUACUUAGCCACAGUGUCGUGGAAACACUUAUGUGGGUCUUCCAGAUGUCGUUUUGCAUCUCAGGGCCUACUGGGUCCUCUCUUGAUGAGAACAUGUCAUGCUUCCAAAAUGGCACCAUAUACCCUAUAUAUAGUGCACUACUUUUGACCAUAGCCCUAUGGGGUUAGGUGCCCUAUAAAAUGAAUUGGGUGCAAUUUGGGAUGGUGCCUGUGUUUUUGCAAUAUUUAGAUGAGCAAUCAGUCAGAAAUCCCACUGUGUUUAAGCCCAGGAAAGAGAAAGUAGUCUAAAAAUACAACAGUAACAGUAUGUUUGGCAACUCCUCGUACAUUUCAGGUCUAUAUCAAUGAUGUCUCCUUGAAUCUGAG